rnacentral:rRNA from 1 species
AGAUUAAGCAAAGAAGAGCGCAGGGUGGAUGCCUUGGCACUAAGAGCCGAAGAAAGACGUGAUAAGCUGCGAAAAGCUGCGGGGAGAUGCAAAUAAUCCUUGAUCCGCAGAUGUCUGAAUGGGGAAACCCGGUACGAAGAACUCGUAUCAUCCAUACGCCAAUCCAUAACGUAUGGAGGGGAACCCGGUGAACUGAAACAUCUAAGUAGCCGGAGGAAGAGAAAGAAACAUCGAUUUUGUUAGUAGCGGCGAGCGAAAGCGAAAGAGGCCAAACCGGAGUGCGUGCACUCCGGGGUUCGGACCGCAUUUAAGAUUCAGUGAUUCUAGCAGAAAGGUUUGGGAAAGCCUGCCGGAGAGGGUGAAAGCCCCGUAAGCGAAAGGAAAACUGACUGAGCGGAAUCCAGAGUACAUCGAGACACGAGAAACCUUGAUGGAAUAAGCGGGGACCACCCCGUAAGCCUAAAUACUACUUAGUGACCGAUAGCGCAUAGUACUGUGAAGGAAAGGUGAAAAGGACCCCGGGAGGGGAGUGAAAGAGAACCUGAAACCCUGUGUUUACAAGCUGUGGAAGUUCUUUAAAUGAACAACCGCGUACUUUUUGUAGAACGGUCCGGCGAGUUGCGGAUACUGGCAAGGUUAAGCACUUAAGGUGCGGAGCCGAAGGGAUACCAAGUCUUAACAGGGCGUUAAGUCAGUAUACGCAGACCCGAAACCGGGUGAUCUAUCCAUGUCCAGGUUGAAGUUGUCGUAAAAGACAAUGGAGGACCGAAGCCACAUCCGUUGAAAAGGGUGGGCAUGAGGUGUGGAUAGGGGAGAAAUUCCAAUCGAACCCGGAGAUAGCUGGUUCUCCUCGAAAUAGCUUUAGGGCUAGCCUCGAUUUAGUCUUAUGGAGGUAGAGCACUGAAUUUCCGCGGGGGCGUCAAAGCUUACCAAAGAAUAUCAAACUCCGAAUGCCAUGUAGAUGAUGAUCGGGAGUCAGACUGCACGAGAUAAGUUGGGCAGUCAAAAGGGAAAGAGCCCAGACCACCGGCUAAGGUCCCAAAGUGCGUGUUAAGUGGAAAAGGAUGUGGGAAUUCGAAGACAACUAGGAUGUUGGCUCAGAAGCAGCCAUACAUUCAAAGAGUGCGUAACAGCUCACUAGUCGAGAGUUCCUGCGCCGAAAAUGUCCGGGGCUGAAACACGACACCGAAGCCGUGGACUCGCAAUGCGAGUGGUAGAGGAGCAUUCUUAAAACCGACGAAGCUGUACCGAAAGGAGCAGUGGAGGGAUAAGAAGAGAGAAUGCCGGAAUGAGUAGCGAGAGAAAGGUGGGAAUCCUUUCGGCCGAAUAUCUAAGGUUUCCAGAGUAAAGCUGAUCUGCUCUGGGUAAGUCGGGGCCUAAGCACAGGUCGCAAGACGUAAGCGAUGGAUAACAGGUUUAGAUUCCUGUACCACGCAUUAUCAGAACUGUAGGGACGCAUGUGGAAAGCACGAGCCGGGAAUGGAAAGACCGGUACAAGCGGGGUAGGUGUACAAUAGGCAAAUCCGUUGUAUAAUCCGAAGACGUGAUGUGGAGCGAAAUAAAGUAGCAAAGCGUGUGAGCCAUGUGCCGAGAAAAGCUGCUAUUGUGUAAUGCGUGCCCGUACCGUAAACCGACACAGGUGGAUGAGGAGAGAAUCCUAAGGCCGACGGAAGAAGCAUUGUUAAGGAAUUCGGCAAAAUGACCCCGUAACUUCGGGAGAAGGGGUGCCUGCGAGAGCAGGCCGCAGAGAAUAGGCUCAAGCAACUGUUUAGCAAAAACACAGGUCUAUGCGAAACCGAAAGGUGAAGUAUAUGGGCUGACGCCUGCCCGGUGCUGGAAGGUUAAGAGGAGAGGUUAGCGUAAGCGAAGCUUUGAAUUUAAGCCCCAGUAAACGGCGGCCGUAACUAUAACGGUCCUAAGGUAGCGAAAUUCCUUGUCGGGUAAGUUCCGACCCGCACGAAAGGCGUAAUGAUUUGAGCACUGUCUCGACAAUGCAUCCGGUGAAAUUGAAGUACCAGUGAAGAUGCUGGUUACCCGCGCCAGGACGGAAAGACCCCAUGGAGCUUUACUCCAGUUUGAUACUGGGAUUCGGUACUGCAUGUACAGGAUAGGUGGGAGACGAAGAAGGAUGGACGCCAGUCUGUCCGGAGUCGCUGUUGGGAUACCACCCCUGUAGUACUGGGUUUCUAACCAGUUGCCAUGAACUGGCAAUGGGACAAUGUCAGGCGGGGAGUUUGACUGGGGCGGUCGCCUCCGAAAGGGUAUCGGAGGCGCUCAAAGGUUCCCUCAGAAUGGUUGGAAACCAUUUGAAGAGUGCAAAGGCAGAAGGGAGCUUGACUGCGACACCGACGGGUGGAGCAGGUACGAAAGUAGGACUUAGUGAUCCGGUGGUAUAAAGUGGGAUUGCCAUCGCUCAACGGAUAAAAGCUACCCUGGGGAUAACAGGCUUAUCACUCCCAAGAGUUCACAUCGACGGAGUGGUUUGGCACCUCGAUGUCGGCUCAUCGCAUCCUGGGGCUGUAGCAGGUCCCAAGGGUUGGGCUGUUCGCCCAUUAAAGCGGUACGCGAGCUGGGUUCAGAACGUCGUGAGACAGUUCGGUCCCUAUCCGGCGCGGGCGGAGGAUAUUUGAGAGGAGCUGUCCUUAGUACGAGAGGACCGGGAUGGACGGACCACUGGUGUAUCUGUUGUCGACCAACGGCAUGGCAGAGUAGCCAAGUCUGGAAGGGAUAAACGCUGAAGGCAUCUAAGCGUGAAGCCCCCCUCAAGAUGAGAUAUCCCUCCUUCGGGAGUAAGACCCCUUGAAGACUACAAGGUAGAUAGGGCAGAGGUGGAAGCAUGGCAACAUGUGGAGCUGACUGUUACUAAUAGGUCGAGGGCUUAAUCUG